rnacentral:lncRNA from 1 species
CUCAGGGGCAGCGGCUCUGUGCCUCCCUCUCUGGGUUGUUGCUGACCUGAGAGCCCGCUGCUCAACUUUCCUCCCGCUGCUGCUGCUGGCUCUUUGAUUCGCCCAUUCCCCUGCUCUGCUUGCGGUGACUGAGGACUCUCUAGGCGGUUUCCAAGGGCUUAGAUGUCCCAGAAACAGGAGCUUCAUAAAAACCUAAGACAGAAUUUCUAAUGUGAAAGGAAAAAGCCAGGAAGCGCCAAGGAGGUGCUGCUCUCCAUUGACUGGCAUUGACCGCUCCUGGCCUUUCCCACAAGCACUGGAUGAAGAUGAGCAGCCUGUCCCGAGCAUGACGUCGUUGGCAAAUGUCAUUGCUUCCCACAAAUCGGAGUGGGUCUCCUUCAAUGAUGAGCUGCUCGUGCCGGUUACUUUGCAGGGU